rnacentral:rRNA from 1 species
CGAACGCUGGCGGCGUGCCUAAUACAUGCAAGUCGAGCGGACCGACGGGAGCUUGCUCCCUUAGGUCAGCGGCGGACGGGUGAGUAACACGUGGGUAACCUGCCUGUAAGACUGGGAUAACUCCGGGAAACCGGGGCUAAUACCGGAUGCUUGAUUGAACCGCAUGGUUCAAUCAUAAAAGGUGGCUUUCAGCUACCACUUACAGAUGGACCCGCGGCGCAUUAGCUAGUUGGUGAGGUAACGGCUCACCAAGGCGACGAUGCGUAGCCGACCUGAGAGGGUGAUCGGCCACACUGGGACUGAGACACGGCCCAGACUCCUACGGGAGGCAGCAGUAGGGAAUCUUCCGCAAUGGACGAAAGUCUGACGGAGCAACGCCGCGUGAGUGAUGAAGGUUUUCGGAUCGUAAAACUCUGUUGUUAGGGAAGAACAAGUACCGUUCGAAUAGGGCGGCACCUUGACGGUACCUAACCAGAAAGCCACGGCUAACUACGUGCCAGCAGCCGCGGUAAUACGUAGGUGGCAAGCGUUGUCCGGAAUUAUUGGGCGUAAAGCGCGCGCAGGCGGUUUCUUAAGUCUGAUGUGAAAGCCCCCGGCUCAACCGGGGAGGGUCAUUGGAAACUGGGGAACUUGAGUGCAGAAGAGGAGAGUGGAAUUCCACGUGUAGCAGUGAAAUGCGUAGAGAUGUGGAGGAACACCAGUGGCGAAGGCGACUCUCUGGUCUGUAACUGACGCUGAGGCGCGAAAGCGUGGGGAG